rnacentral:RNase_P_RNA from 1 species
AGAGCAGGAUGGAUGAUCGCUGCCAUGCAAACGAAAGGGCAUGGGAGAGGAAAGUCCGGGCUUCGCAGGGCGGGAUGCCAGAUAACGUCUGGUGGAGGUGACUCCCAGGAUAGUGCAACAGAGAUAUACCGCGUUAGCAAUGAGACGGGCGGAUAUGCCGCGUAACGAGGAAUGCUUGCAUUCCAAGUGACCGACUCAUGAGUUGUUAGCGUAAGGGUGGAAAGGCAGUGUAAGAGACUACCGUGCUGGUGGUAACAUCAGUAGCCAUGUAAACCCCAUCCGAAGCAAGACCGAAUAGAGAGCAAUGAACCGGCCCGGUUCGCUUUCAGGUGGGUCGCUUGAAACUGUCGGUGACGGCAGUUCUAGAUAGAUGAUCAUCUUAGAAGACAUAACCCGGCUUAUAGUCCUGCUCAUUUU